UAACCAUUCCAUCGAUUGAUGGCAAGACACUAAUCCGUUGAUUGCAUAUAAUAUAUAUGUGUAUGUAUAGCCGGUGCUAUAAUUCUCAUAUGCAUCCUCCUCGACCUACGUUGGUAGGCGCUUACAUACAUAUGCUCAUAUAUUCACAUAUGAGUAGAACGAGAAGUAAAACUGAGAAAGCAGAGCUGCCGACAAAUGUGAACUAACAUGACAUGUAUAUCAGUUAUUUCAACUUGCACUUUAGGCCUUGCCAGAUUCCUCGCAACCUGGUGGCCUGAAGGCAAUGAAGCUGACGCAUUGCACUUGGCGCAUGUUGUCGAAGCCGAUGACGCGGACAUAGGCGUCAGGGUACUCCUUCUUAACCUCCUCCACCUCGUUGAGCACCUGUGUGGCGUCGGUGCACCCGAACAUAGGCAGCUUCCACAUUGUCCAGUAUCGACCGUCGUAGUACCCGGGGGAGCUGUUGUGCUCACGGAAGACAAAGCCAACCUUGCUGAACUCGAGGCAGGGUACCCACUUGGAGCGGAUCAAGUAGUCGACCUGCUUUAGGAGGGCCUCCGUAGAGAGGGGUGGCAAGUAAGACAGGGUCUCAAACUUCUUGAUGCCCUCAAUUGGCCACACCUGAAUAGAUGGAAUGAACACAAUUGAUCAACACUUAGUGCUUAAAGAAAGACCUAACAAUAAGGCAAAAAUUACUCCUUAUGGUCUUCCAUACAUUGUGGGGGGUCUCGACAAGCAAGAAAGCUCAAGGACAGCUCUUGCUUAUGGGUAGUGUACGGGCAUUAAAAAUGAUAUUAUCUACUCCCUCCGUUCCAAAUUAGUCGUUGCUGAAAUGGAUGUAUUUAGAACUAAAAUACAUCUAGAUACAUUCAUACGUGCGAUAAGUAAUUCGGAACGGAGGGAGUAGUACACAUUGCAAUAAAAUCGAUUUCCAUUCACCAAGUUUAUGAGUUAAAUAUUCCUACACAUGUGAACCUGCUUACGGACUACAUUGUGAUGCACUAUCUAUGUUUAGUUGGCCUGGUAUGUUGGUUACACGUCCUAAGGAUAGCUUUGCCUUUGUGCAGUGGAAAUACCCAAUAAAUUAAUCAAUUGGGCCGACAAGAAUAUUCAUGGCAGCUUAGUGUCCGUCAUCCUUCGGGAAAAAAAUUGAAAAGAAAGAUAACCUCAGCCUCUGUAUCAAGGAUGCAUACUGUCAAUUUUAUUAUGUUAUUCAAUUGUGUCUAACAAAAAAAUGCAGUUUUAAUUCAAAACCACCUUCCAGACGAACAAAAUUGCUACACCUAUAAGUAUGAUGAUGUGCCUUGACCGCACCAUCCUUCGCCAAAAUAAUAUUUAGCUUUCAUACCUGCAUGCAUCUGAUCCUUCCGCCAUUGCUGACGCUGCUGAGGCCGGCGCUGCCGGAGCGGCGGCUGACUGGGAGGCCGGCGGUCGACUUGAGCCCCUGGAAGGGUGCGACGGUGGUGGCGGACGAAGCCAUCACGGCUGGGGCCAUGGCGGAGUACGUGAAUUGCUAGGUGGGGAGGCGAUAGCUAGCUAGGCCACACUUGACUUGAGGCCUCCUCAUGCCGCUCCAGUAUAUAUCAGCAUAUGCGCAGCGCCGGUCCUUUCAAACGAGAUUUCGAAGGGGUGGUCGUCGUUUGCUUGCUGCAAGGCGCCUUAUCCCUCUAGAUCAGCGGAAGAGGGGUGGAAAAUAAAAAUGAAUGCGACGGAAAGACCCCAAAACGUCAUAUAAGAUCACCAUUGAUCAUCCAAAUCUAAGAGCAUCUCCGGCCGUGCCCCCAAUACGGACCCCUCACGCGAUUUUUUCGCCCCGGCGCCGAAAAAACGGUCCAGUCGUGCCCUCGGGAGCCCGUUUUUCGCCGGCUUGGUCCGAAAUCAGUGCCGGCGGACCCAGGCCGAACCCGGGGCGAGCGGUUUUGGCGCGAAAGAGACGUGGGUCCGUCGAGUCAGCGACGCGCGUGCCUCGUCGUCAUCGGAACGCCUCGGUUUUCCGCGUGGAAUCAAUGGCAAGGCUGACGGGCAGCCUUGCCAUUGAUUCCUCACAGGCGGCACGUCACGGGCGGCGCGGCAACGCCUUCCCUCCCGCCACGCGUAUACACGGCGCGGGCUAUAUAAACCGGUGGCCUCCCUUGCCUCUGGCCACACCAGCCCACAGCCGCGCAUCGACCGCCGCCGAGCUCUCCCUCUCUCUCCAUGUGCAGCCGCUCGCCGACGCUUCUCCCUCCCCCCCCUCUCCCAAGCCCGAUGGCCGCGCGAUUCCCCGGCGACGCGGCGGCAGCAAACGGCUUCGGCCGCCGCUCGCUCCACGAGUGGGAGGCCUGGCUACUCUUUGAGGCGAACAUCCCGGCGCCACUGGACAUGCGCGCCGGGCCGAUGGGGUGGAGGCUCAGCAACGGGGGUGUGCCCAUUCUUCCGUUGCCCGACGUCGAGGCGCGCCCCGCCUUCUUCGCCGCCGAGGUCGACCGUGUGUGAGCCUCCCUGACAAAGGAGCAGCGCGCCCUCCCCCAGUACGCCGCCGACAACCACGCGUCGUGGGCGGCGUACUUCCAGCACCGCCAGGAGCAGAGGCUGGCGUCCACAUACGGGGCGCCGGUGGUGGGUAGCGUCAAGAACAACGAGGGCCGCCGUGUAUGGUGGGGCGCCCCCGGCCGCACGCUCCAGGACGUGUUGAAGCACAUCGAGUGCGGCAACGACCCGCCGCUAGCAUACCCUGCUGCGGUGGCCGCCCCGGUCCACCGCCGGAGCGCCGGGCAAUGGAUGCCCAGGAGGUUCGGCUCCUCCUCAACUUCCUCCUCCCACUCCUCCUCCCGCUCCUCUUCCCAUUCCUCCGGCUCGCCGGCGGUGUUCGUCGUCAAGGCUGAGCCCGUAGCGGAGACGCCGCUCGGCCGGCGCACUCGCAGCGCCGGCAUCGUCAUAAAUGAGGGCGCCCGGCGCGCAUCCUCCUCGUCUCCUCCAUGCUUCGUCAAACCGAAGACAGAGCCGGGGCUCGCGGCCGUGAAAACAGAGCCGGGGCUCCCCUCCGUGAAGACGGAGCACGACACCGGGGAGCUCGAUGACGCGGUGGCCUGAAAUGGGCGCGCGAUGACUGGGUGCACAUGGAGAUGGAGCGCCAGCGCUGCGCCCUAGAGCAGUUGAAACAUCAGCGCUGGGGCCGCGACGAGGGAGGCGUCGUCGUCCUCGACGACAGCGAUGACGACGACGCGCCGCCACCGACACCGGUCUUCGAUGGCGACGCCGGGUAGGGGUCCAGCAGGGGCAACCGCUUCAAGGAGGAGAAGGCCUCCGAUGACGACGGCGAGGAUGGUGGCGACGGUGGCGACUUCGCCGCGCUCAGCGACUUCUUCGGUCCGUAGUUGUAGUUUCGGCUUUUUAAUAAUAAAUUUGCUAUGUAAAAUGUCGAACAUGUCUAAUAUAUGCCAAGUUUGCCGAAUUUUAGCCAAAUUUUAGCUGAACUUUGCCGAAUACUCUUUUCUUUUUAACAUAAACGGCGUCUGGGGCGGCCCUGGGGUCGGCGGCUAGGAACCCACUCGUCCCCAGGCCGAUUUUUUGCGCCGGCUCGCCCCCAGCGGCGAUUUUACGCGCCCCCUGGGGGGCCAACGGCUGGAGAUGCUCUAAGGUCACUGCAUUCGUUAUGAACAAAUUCUUUGGUGCGAAACUAAACCACACCAACACUAAAAUUCAUGAAGGAAAGCCAUCCAUACUCUUAUGUUUCAUUAUACGAGACAGUAAUUAUUUCUUCAUUUAAAUUGUUUAUGUGGCUCCACCAUGGUAUUAGAGGUGGCAUUUUCCUAUACGAUGUGAUAUCAUCAUUUUUUUUCUAAUUUAGUAAAACUUCUUCAUAUAGGUCUCACAAUCUGAAAAUCCUCAUUCGCGUGCAGGCGUUGGGUGGGUGAAGCGCUCCGCACAAUAAUUCAGGUUCCAACCGCACGCUACAUUCCCUUUCAAACUUUCACAUGUCGUUUAAUUGAGAAUGGUGGUCCCAUAGUAUAGCAGUCCCACUGCCAUGGAAUUUAAUGUGUUGGGCCCACCCCACCUGUUACGCGCAUUCGCAGAAGGGCUAGUUGUGUUGGCAUCAUGGUUUUCACUUUUAAUGAUAUAUCUUUGAAUUUCACCAAAUUUCAGUAGACAGCGAAAUAUUUACCUUUCGGCCAAAAUAUAUCAGUCAUUUUAGUUGUACACAUGAUUUCAAAUAUUUUCAUAUAUUUUCUUCAAUUUCGAGUGAAUAUUUUGGUCUUUUGGUCAAAAUGCAAACAGACAUUACUGGAACUUAGUAAUUUUGGUAGGUACUGAAAUGAAAAAACAUGGGUGCCAUGGCAUGCAGGCCCACCACCGUGAUCAAUAUAUAAUCUCCCACUAAAUUUCAGGGAGGGGGGGCUAGUUUCCCUACAAUAAUGAAUAAUCCAGGGGAACGGAAAUAUCACUGCACACUUUCCUAAUAGGGACGUGGACAGCCAGUCGGAAAUCGACCACGCGGACGCGCGUGCGAAUUAGCCUCCCCCCGGCAUGCGUGUACCUCCACAAUGUAAUGGGCUAUUGUUGUUUGCAACUAAUUGUUUCCUAAUGUUAUGACUGAAUAUGGAAAAAAAAUUCAUGAGACAUAUAGGGUUUGUGCCUCUUAGGCAGGUUUUAUGACAAAAUUGAUAGUUUCGUCAUGGAAGGACCGAUCUUUAUGACACCAACACCAAACAUCACAGAUAAUUCAUGGUAGAAGGCCAAAAUAUUACUAGUACAAGGUAUCUUGGGGCUCAUCAAUUGGAUAUGUGAUUUGCACAUAUUUGUGCCCUCUACACGUUCUUUGGUUUAUUGGAAUUUCUGUAAUACUGCAAAAACAAGUAUCUAAUUGUGGUGUCAAAUGGUUAGAAAAACUGACAUGUCUUUGAUGAAUCGAUGCAGGAAUAUGGCUCACAUGACAAGUGCAUUAUGAUAGGUUUGUCCUUGUCUUGUUAUGACACCUUUGUUUGUCCUUUUUUCUAGUUCUUUAAUUUGUUUUUGUUUUUUUGUUAUUAUCUGUUUCUCGUGAAUUCCGUAUUGUUUUGCCAUUAGUUUCCAAUGGGUCUCGCCAUCUUUUAUGUGUUUCUCCACAGUAUUUUUUUAAGUACUUUGGUAUUCCAUAACAAUUUCCAUAUUAGACAAUACACAACAUAUGAUUGAGCAAAAAAUGCAUGAGAAGAAAACAAUGCAAGACAUAGGCAUUUCCGGCUGCAAACAAACCAACCUUUCCAUCGAUUGAUGGCAAGACACUAAUGCGUUGAUUGCAUAUAAUAUAUAUGUAUAUGUAUAGCCGGUGCUAUAAUUCUCAUAUGCAUCCUCCUCGACCUACAUUGGUAGGUGCUUACAUACAUAUGCUCAUAUAUUCACAUAUAUAUGAGUAGAACGAGAAGUAAAACUGAGAAAGCAGAGCCGCCGACAAAUGUGACUAACAUGACAUGUAUAUCGGUUACUUCAACUUGCACUUUAGGCCUUGCCGGAUUCCUCGCAACCUGGUGGCCUGAAGGCAAUGAAGCUGACGCAUUGCACCUGGCGCAUGUUGUCGAAGCCGAUGACGCGGACAUAGGCAUCAGGGUACUCCUUCUUAACCUCCUCGACCUCGUUGAGCACCUGUGUGGCAUCGGUGCAGCCGAACAUAGGCAGCUUCCACAUUGUCCAGUAUCGACCGUCGUAGUACCCGGGGGAGCUGUUGUGCUCACGGAAGACGAAGCCAACCUUGCUGAACUCGAGGCAGGGUACCCACUUGGAGCGGAUCAAGUAGUCGACCUGCUUUAGGAGGGCCUCCGUAGAGAGGGGUGGCAAGUAAGACAGGGUCUCGAACUUCUUGAUGCCCUCAAUUGGCCACACCUGAAUAGAUGGAAUGAACACAAUUGAUCAACACUCAGUGCUUUAAGAAAGACCUAGCCAUAAGGCAAAAAUUACUCCUGAUGGUCUGUCCAUACAUUGUGGGGGUCUCCACAAGCAAGAAGGCUCAAGGGCAGCUCUUGCUUAUGGGUAGUGUACGGGCAUUAAAAAUGAUAUUAUCUAGUACACAUUGCAAUAAAAACGAUUUCCAUUCACAAAGUUUAUGAGUUAAAUAUUCCUACGCAUGUGAACCUGCUUAUGGACUACAUUGGGAGGUUUAGUUUGGCCUGGUACGUGGGUUACACGUCUAAAGGAUAGCUUUGCCUAUAUGCAGUGGAAAUACCUGAUAAAUUAAUUAAGUGUGACGACAAAAACAUUCAUGAGAGCUUAGUGUCCGUAAUCCUUUGCCAAAAAAAAAUCAAAAAGGAGGAUAUCCCAACCUCUGCAUCAAGCGAUGCAAACUGUCAUUUUGAUUAUGUUAUUCAACAUAGUCUAACAAAAUAAAUACGAUUUCAAACCAAAACCAUCUUCCAGUCGGACAAAAUCGCUACACCUACAAAUACGAUGAUGUGCCUUGACCGCACCAUCGUUGGCAAAAAUAAUAUUCAGCUUUCAUACCUGCAUGCAUCUUAUCCUUCCGCCAUUGCUGACGCUGCUGAGGCCGGCGCUGCCGGAGCGGCGGCUGACGGGGAGGCCCGCGGUCGACUUGAGCCCCUGGAAGGGCGCGACGGUGGUGGCGGAGGAAGCCAUCAUGGCGGGAGCCAUGGCGGAGUACGUGAAUUGCUAGGUGGGGAGGCGAUAGCUAGUUAGGCCACACUUGUCUUGAGCCCCCCUCAUGCCGCUCCAGUAUAUAUCACAAUAUGCGCGGCGCCGCUCCUUUCCAACAAGAUUUUGAAGGGGUGGUCGUUGUUUCCCUGUUGCAGAACGCCUUAUCCCGAGGGAUCAGCGGAAGAGGGGUGGCCCUCCGAUGCAUUGCGUCUGGCUGCUGCAUUGGCAAACGAAAUUUAUAUCAGUCCGAUUACUAAGCAUUACAAUAAUUGUGCGAUCGUUAGAUUUGGGCCUGCGCCUUUCUUAGUCUUCAUCUAUGGCUUCCAGUAAUUUUGAUUUAUUUUGUUUCCGGAAAGUUACUGCUCCCAGAAAUUACUCCUCCAAGAUUUGUGUGUAAUUGCACCGGUGGCGCUUGAACUUGCCAUCCAUGUUCACUUUAGCGUCUGAACUUAAAAAAUACGUCCAACUGGUUAUAGUACUUGGCACUCUUGUUCAAAUAUGGUAGAAGAUGCGGGGCGGAGUGACGAAUGAAUGAAGAAGAUGCACCCUAGGCCUGUAUAAGUAGUGCGCCAAGUUAGCCACAUGGAUAUUGCGCACUGUCCGAUGACGUGUAACCAUCCACGUGCCGCCUAGUACAUGGAUAGAUAGGUGGCGAAACACAGACCAACACAUAAUGAUCGCACUUUGAUAGUAUAGGGGAUCGUAGCAGUCCUCAAUCUGAUGAGACCACCUAUUAAGGGGUAGGAUCAUCAACACCCAACAAGCUACAACACAUGGGGAUCCUAAUGCAAGAUGCUCACCUACCAAACAUAGUCGACUUGACAAACCACUUGGAUGAUACCAAGUCACUCGAACGGGUCAAGUACACUAGCUCAUUUGGAUGGAGUUCAUCAAUGUUCGAAUACACCAAACACUUGGAGGCACAAAGUAGAACAUGCAGAGAAGGCACCUGGGGCGUCGUGUAAUUUUAUAGAACUAGCAUUACUAACUUUAUUACAUCAAUUACCUCUUGUAGUGUAUCUAAUAAUUAGACAUCUUUAAACCCUUGUAACGACAAAGGUCAGGGGACGUGGCUCACUGUAUGUAAGCCAUAUCUCCAUAAUAGGGGGUCUGUCAGGGUUACGAUCGUGACAAUGAGUACUGGGGGUGCGAAAAAUGGGCAGAGCCUAGCUACAGCGCAGGUGUAACACUUGGUGUUUAACGAGUUCAGACCCCUCUCAGAGGAGGUAAUAGCACUACGUAUCGUGCCUUGAGCCUUUGUUUUCUUGAGAGGUAUGAUUACUGAGAUUGCUUAGCCCUUGUACACGAGAGGGGGGGGGGACUUAUAUAGAGUGUGUCGUUGCCCCGCCAUUCCCACGUCGCAAGGGUGGAUUUAAUGUCGUAACUACUGCAGUUACAAGUAUAAAUGGCCACAACUGCAGCAGUUACAGGUAACGGUAGCCCUGACUCUACUUUAAGGAUGACUUAGGAUUCCUCGACCAUUACAGAUCCCACGUCAUCCCUUCACCUCUCUUGCCCGAGUGAUGGUGGUCAUGUCGAUUGAAGGGUGGUCAUCCGAGUGUCGUCGAGGUGUCCGAGUGGACCUCUUGAUGUUCACAUAUGAAUGCUUGUGUGGUCCUGAGACCCACCAAUGAUGGUGUGGGGCCCUAGGUGGGCCCUAUAUGACAGGUCCAUGACCCUACUUGUAGUAGGUGACCUCAUCAUUAGACAUAGAAUCAAUUGAGGUUUUGUAUGGCAAACGGACUGAGCUUUCGGUUAGGUCCCAAUGCUUCUGGAGCACUCGGAAUAUGUUUUUCGGAAUCGUGGUCCGCCGCUCCUUAGACGAAAACACAACGGAUUCUGGACCAAAGGGUUUCCCAGAUGACCGGGUGUUGUUUAUCGCUGAGAAAAACCUGGUGGUAUUUAUUUGUCUCUAAGAGGAGAUAGACUUGAGGUCCAAGUGAGGACAUGCCAUUACAAUCCGAGUGGAGACGCCAGCGUGUGGUCUGACUCUCCAGGGAGAUGCCACUCCUUAUCCUAGAGGAACUCUAUGGAAGACCUUGGUUCGUUCAUCUCGUCUUCAAACACCAUGCAGUUCUUGGACAUAAAGGAGGGAAUGAUUCUUGUAGGUAAAGUGUACAAGACUCUGCAGAUUGAAAAUCUAAUCGAUUAGUCGUGUCCCCGGUUACGGACAUCUGAGCCUAUGGAAUUGGAGUUAUUCGGAAUUCUCAACACCAAACAUAAUUAAUUAAUUGAUGGUUUAUUAAUGAUUUCGGGUAUGAGACACUGGUUGGCGGAACCAUCUCAAUAACAACAAAUAUUUUGUAGUAAUUGCAAGCAAGUCCUUUUGUUGUAGGGAAAAAAUUGCUUCUCGCAGAAACUUAAACUUAGGGCCCCACAGCCAAAAUUGCAUAUAGUGAUAGCAUUUAUUUAUUGGUCUCCCUAUAUGACUUGCCGGCAUAUUCAAAAUGCUAACCUACAUGACCACACCAUCUUAUGUUGCAUAGGAUUACUCCGACCAGGACUGAGGAUACGAUCCACAGUCGAUGAUUGCCUUAGGAGUCGGAUGGACUCGCUUAUCGUCCACACUUCCGCAGUAGUUUUCUCAUGAGUUGUCCUUUGGCUGAAUUUAUUCUGAUGUAAUAAAGACUCCAUAUGAGAUUCAUGUAAUAAAUCAAGUGUGACUGAACUUUGAUAUUUUCAUCAAUGUACUGUGUGUGCCAGCAUGAUCUUGGGAUGGUACUGAUACAUAGAGAAUUGGCCGUUUUCGGGUCGGGUUGCUACAGUGACUUGCUAAUAAUACAUAGUGAUGUAUGCGGUCCAGUCAGUGUGAAGUACACAUUGGAUAUCAUUAUUUCCUAACCUUCAUAGAUUAUUUAAGUAGAUAUGGGUAAAUUUACUUAAUGAAACACACCAUUGAAAAAGUUCAAGGAGUUUCAGAGUGAAGUAGAAAAUCAUCCUAAUAAGAAGGUAAAACUUCUAUGAUCUGAUCAUGGAGGUGAAUACCUGAGUUAUGAUUUUGAUAUGCAUUUAAAACAAUGUGGAAUUGUUUCACAACUCACUCUACCUGGAACACCACAUCGUAAUGGUGUUUUCGAAUGUUGUAAUCGUACUCUAUUAGAUAUGGUCGUUCUAUGAUGUCUCUUACCGAUUUGUCACUAUCAUUUUAGGGUUAUGCAUUAGAGAUAGCCGCAUUCACUUUAAACAGGGCACCGUCUAAAUCCUUUCAAAAGACACUCUAUGAAUUAUGGUUUGGCAAGAAACCUAAGCUAUCGUUUCUUAAAGUUUGGGGAUGCGACAAUUAUGUCAAGGGGCUACAACAUGAUAAGCUCAAACCCAAAGCGGAAAAAUGUGUCUUGAUAGGAUACCCUAAAUAGAUAAUUGGGUAUACAUGCAAUCACAGAUCCAAGGGCAAGAUCUUUGUUUCCAAAAAUGUAUCCUUAAUGGAGAAAGAGUUUCUCUCAAAAUAAGUGAGUGGGAGGAAUGUAGAGCUUGAUGAGGUUAUCAAACCUUCUCUCAAAUUAGAGAUUACCAAGUGUGAACUCUGGUGGACUUACCCGAUGACUGAAGGCCAUUGAAAACAAAUGGAUCUUUAAGAAGAAAAUAGACAUUGAUGGUAAUGUCACUACCUAUAAAGCUCGACAUGUCACAAAAGGUUAUCCACAAGUUCAAGGGGUUGACAAUGAUGAGACUUUCUCGACCGUAACGAUGCUAAACUUUUUUAGCAUUAUGUUAGCAAUUGCUGCAUUUUUGGACUAUGAAAUCUGACAGAUGGAUGUCAAAACUAUGUUCCUUAAUGGUCAUGUUAAGCAAGAGUUGUAUAUGAUGCAACAUAAUAAGGUAUGCAAGUUCCAGCGAUCCAUUUAUGGACUGGUGCCAGCAUUCUCGACUUGGAAUCUUCACUUUGAUGAGGUGAUCAAAGCUUUUGGUUUUAUCCAAGCUUAUGGAGAAGCUUAUAUUUACAAGAAAGUGAGUGGAAUCUCUGUAGCAUUUCUAAUACUAUAUGUGGAUGACAUAUUAAGUAUUGGCAAUGAUGUAGAUCUUCUGGAAAGCAUAAAUGGAUAUUUGAACAAGAGUUUUUCAAUGAAAGACCUCGGUGCAACAACUUACAUAUUGGGAAUCAAGAUCUAUAGAGAUAGAUCAAGACGCCUGAAAGGACUUUCACAAAGUACAUACCUUGACAAAGUGGAAGAAGUUCAAAAUGGGCCAGUUCAAAGAAUGGGUUCUUGCCCAUGUUGCAAGGUAUCAAGUUGAGUAAGACUAAAUGCCCAGCUAUGGCAGAAGAAAUAGUAAAGACGAGAGCCGUCCACUAUGCCUCAGCCAUAGGCUCUAUCAUGUAGGUCAUGAUGUGUAGUAGACUUGAUGUGUGCCUUCCCACUAGUAUGAAUGGUAGGUACCAGAGUGAUCCAAGAGUGGAAAACUGGACAACAGUCAAAUAUCAUUAAGUGCCUAAAGAGGACUAAGGAGAUGUUUCUCAUUUAUGCAGGUGAUGCAGAGCUUGUCAUAAAAGUUUAUGUCGAUGCUAGAUUUGACACUGAUCCGAAUGACUCAAAAUGUCAAUUCACAUAUGUAUUUAUUUUGAAUGGUGGGGAAGUCAGCCGGAGUAGCUCCAAGCAAAGCGUUGUAGCAGUAUCAACAUGUGAGGCGGAAUAUAUAGCUGCCUUGAAAGUGGUGCGGGAAGGAGUCUAGAUGAUGGUUUUCAUAUCUAAACUAGGUGUGGUUCCUAGUGCAUCGGAUCCCAUGACUAUCUAUUGUGACAACAUGGGUGCCAUUGUCAUAGCCAAGAAGCCAAGGUUUUACACAAAAACUAAGCAUAUAAAUGCCGCUUCAACUCCAUCCGUGACUAUGUCAAGGAAGGAGACAUAGAGAUUUGCGAAAUUCACACAGAUCUCAAUGUUGAAGAUGAUGACCCACAAGUAUAGGGGAUAAAUCGUAGUCCUUUCAAUAAGUAAGAGUAUCGAACCCAACGAGGAGCAAAAGGAAAUGAGGAGUUGUUUUCAGCCAGGUAAUUUCUGCAAGCACUGAAAUUGUCGGUAACAUGUAGUUUGAUAGUAAGAUAAUUUCUAACGGACAAGUAACGGUACAUAAAGUGAAGUAAGAUAGCCCAAUCCUUUUUGUAGCAAAGGAAAGUACAAAACGAUCUCUUAUAAUAAGCAAAGCAUCCUUGAGGGCACACUGGAAUUUCAUCUAGUCACUUUCAUCAUGUUGGUUUGAUUCGCGUUCGCUACUUUGAUAAUUUGAUAUGUGGGUGGACCGGUGCUUGCGUGAUGUUCUUACUUGAACAAGCCUCCCACUUAUGAUUAACCCUCUCGCAAGCAUCUGCAACUCAGAAAGAAGAAUUAAGAUAACAAUCUAACCAUAGCAUUAAACAUAUGGAUCCAAACCAGCCCCUUACGAAAUAGCGCAUAAACUAGGAUUUAAGCUUCUCUCACUCUAACAACCCAUCAUCUAAUAACUAUUCCACAAUGCAUUCCCUUAGGCCCAAAGAUGGUAAAGUGUCAUGUAACGACGUUCACAUAACACCACUCAAGGAACCAUAACAUACAUAUCAUCAAAAUAUCGAACGAAUACCAAAUUCACAUGAUUACUUGCAACAUGACUUCCCCCGUGGCAUCAAGAACAAGGACAACUACUCACAAAUAAUAUUCAUGCUCAAGAUUCGAGGGGUAUUAAAUAGCAUAAUCGAUCUGAACAUAUAAUCUUCAAAUAAACCAUAUAGCAUCAACUACAAGAUGUAAUCAACACUACUAGUCACCCACAGGUACCAAUCUGAGGUUCUGGUACAAAGAUUGAACACAAGAGAUGAACUAGGGUUCUCAGAUGAGAUGGUUAUGUUGAAGAUGUUGAUAAAGAUUGGCCUCCCAAAGAUAAGAGGAUUGUUGGUGAUGACGAAGGCUUCGAUUUCCCCAUCCGCGAGGGAUGUUCUCCCGGCGAAAUCGCUCCAUCGGAGGGCAAAAGUGCUCCUGCUCAAGUUCCGCCUUGAGACGGUGGCACUCCAUCCCGAAAGUCCUCUCUUUGUUUUUACUAGGUCAAAAGACCUUAUAUACUAGAAGAUGGGCACCGAACGUGGGGCGGGGUGCCCACCACCCACCAGGGCACACCUGGAGGGGGUGGCGUGCCCUGGUGUCUUGUGGCCACCUGGCAGUCCCCUCUGGUAGUUCUUUUCUCCAAUAUUUCUUAUUUAUUCCAAAAUAAUUCUCCGUAAAAUUUCAGCUCAUUUGGAGAUGCGCAGAAUAGGUAUCUCUGACAUAGUUUUUUCAGGUCUAGAAUUACAGCUAUCGGCAUUCUCUCUCUUUGUGUAAACGUUGCAUAUUACGAGAAAAAAUGUAUUAGAAUUACUCCAUAAAGUGUUAUAAAACAUAAAAACACUAUAAAUAUAUGAUUUUGUCAUGAAAAAUCUAAAUGAAUGCCACGGAAAGACCCCAAAAUGUCAUAUAGGAUCACCAUUGAGCAUCAAAAUAUAAGGCCACCUCAUUCGUUAUGAAGAAAUCCUUUGCCAUGAAAGUAAACCACGCUAACACUAAAAUUCAUGAAGUAAAGUCAUCCAUAGUCUUAUGAUUCAUUACAUGAAAUUAAAGAAAGUGAUGGUAUGGCUCUACCGUGUGUUAGAUGUGGCCUUUCCCACGACGAUGUGGUAUCAUCAUUUUUUUCUAAGUUAGUAAAAGGUCUUACAUAUUGGUUUCAGAAUCCAAAAAGACUCCUUCAGCUGCGCGUUGGGACAGGCGAAGCGCUCCGUAGAAGCAGUCAGGUAGUAUAGCAGCCGACUAUGUUCCUUUUCAAACUUUCGCAUGUUGUUUAACUGAAAAUGGUGGCCCCACGUAGUAUAGCAGCCCACCUACUAGACGCAUUCCCUAACCCUUCGUGACAGCCAGUUGGAAGUUGAUCGCGUGGGACAUGUGCGCGUGAAUUAGCCUCCCCUCACAGUCAUCCACCCCCAAAAAUAAUACAAAUUAAUAUAAUUUCAGCCAUGUUAGAGACAUGUGUGUACCUCCACAAUGUAAUUGGCUAUUGUUGUUUACAACUAAUUGUUUCCUAAUUUUAUGACUGGAUAUGGAUUUUGUCAUGAAACAUACAGGGUUUGUGCCUCCUAGGUAGGUUUAUGACAAAAUGAUAGUUUCGUCAUGGUAGGACCGAUGUUUAUGACACAAACACAAAACAUCACAGAUAAUUCAUCGUAUAGAAGGCCAAAAAUUACUAGUGCAAGAUAUCUUAGGACUCGUAAAUUGGAUAUGUAAUUUGCACAUAUUUGUGUCCUCUACACGUUCUAUGGUUUACUGGAAUUUCUGCAAUACUGCAAAAAAGAAGUAUCUAAUUGCGGUGCAAAAUGGUUAGAAAAGGUGACAUGUCUUUGAUGAAUCGAUGUUGGAAUGUGGCUCACAAGACCAGUACACUAUGGUAGGUUUGUCCUUGUCUUGUUUUGACACCUUUUGUUUGUCCUUUUUACUAGUUUUUAAUUUGGAUUUUGGCCUUUUAUCAUCUGGUUCUCGUCAAUUUCCUACUGUUUUGCCACUAGUUUUUUUACGGGGAGUUUUGCCACUAGUUUUCAAGUGGUUCUCGCCAUCUUUUUAUGUGUUUCUCCACAAUAUUUUUUGAUGUACUUUGGUAUUCCAUAACAAUUUUCACACUAGAUAAUACACAACAUAUGAUUGAGCAAAAAAUGCGUGAGAAGAAAACAAUGCAAGACAUAGGCAUCUCGAGCUGCAAACAAAGUAACAUUUCCAUCAACCGAUGGCAAGACAAUAAUCCGCGGAUUGCAUAUAAUAUAUGUGUGUAUGUAUAGCCGGUGCUAUAAUUCUCAUAUGCAUCCUCCUCGACCUACGUUGGUAGGUGCUUACAUACAUAUGCUCAUAUAUUCACAUACGAGUAGUACGAGAAGUAAAACCGAGAAAGCAGAGCUGCCGACAAAUGUGAACUAACAUGGCAUGUAUAUGCGUUACUUCAACUUGCACUUUAGGCCUUGCCAGAUUCCUCGCAGCCUGGUGGCCUGAAGGCAAUGAAGCUGACGCACUGCACCUGGCGCAUGUUGUCGAAGCCGAUGACGCGGACAUAGGCAUCAGGGUACUCCUUCUUGACCUCCUCCACCUCGCUGAGCACCUGCGUUGCGUCGGUGCACCCGAACAUAGGCAGCUUCCACAUUGUCCAGUAUCGACCGUCGUAGUAGCCGGGGGAGCUGUUGUGCUCACGGAAGACGAAGCCAACCUUGCUGAACUCGAG
rnacentral:lncRNA from 1 species